ACCCUGCCCAGCAGAAGGACCGGGAAC
rnacentral:rRNA from 1 species